AGAGUUUGAUCAUGGCUCAGGAUGAACGCUGGCGGCGUGCCCAAUACAUGCAAGUCGAACGCUUUGUCUUUAAUUGAUCUGACGAGCUUGCUCUGAAGUGAUUUUAUCUGACAAAGAGUGGCGAACGGGUGAGUAACACGUGGGUAACCUACCUCUUAGCAGGGGAUAACAUUUGGAAACAAGUGCUAAUACCGUAUAAUACCAACAACCGCAUGGUUGUUGGUUGAAAGAUGGUUCUGCUAUCACUAAGAGAUGGACCCGCGGUGCAUUAGCUAGUUGGUAAGGUAACGGCUUACCAAGGCGAUGAUGCAUAGCCGAGUUGAGAGACUGAUCGGCCACAAUGGGACUGAGACACGGCCCAUACUCCUACGGGAGGCAGCAGUAGGGAAUCUUCCACAAUGGGCGCAAGCCUGAUGGAGCAACGCCGCGUGUGUGAUGAAGGGUUUCGGCUCGUAAAACACUGUUAUAAGAGAAGAACGGCACUGAGAGUAACUGUUCAGUGUGUGACGGUAUCUUACCAGAAAGGAACGGCUAAAUACGUGCCAGCAGCCGCGGUAAUACGUAUGUUCCAAGCGUUAUCCGGAUUUAUUGGGCGUAAAGCGAGCGCAGACGGUUAUUUAAGUCUGAAGUGAAAGCCCUCAGCUCAACUGAGGAAUGGCUUUGGAAACUGGAUGACUUGAGUGCAGUAGAGGAAAGUGGAACUCCAUGUGUAGCGGUGAAAUGCGUAGAUAUAUGGAAGAACACCAGUGGCGAAGGCGGCUUUCUGGACUGUAACUGACGUUGAGGCUCGAAAGUGUGGGUAGCAAACAGGAUUAGAUACCCUGGUAGUCCACACCGUAAACGAUGAGUGCUAGAUGUUCGAGGGUUUCCGCCCUUGAGUGUCGCAGCU
rnacentral:rRNA from 1 species